rfam:TPA: Bos taurus chromosome 3, whole genome shotgun sequence.
UCCCUAGUGGCUCAGACAGUACAGCGUCUGCCUAAAAUGCAGGAGACCCAGGUUCAAUCCCUGGGUUAGGAA